rnacentral:lncRNA from 1 species
CAUUCCUUAGUUUAAAAAAAAAAAAAAAGUACAGGCUCUGAAGUCAGACUGCAUGGGCCCAAAUCCUGGCAUGUGGUUUUAACCUGUGUGCCAUUUUCUCCUCUUUAAAAUGAGAUGAGAUAAUAAAGGUUCCUACUGCAUAGAGUUGUGUGAAGAUGGAAUUGGAUAACACAUGGAACGCUUAGAUCAAUAUCUAGUCCAUAAAUUCUCAACAACUGUUGUAUUAUUAUUACUAAAAAGAAACCACCUCAAGAAGUUGAGAUUUCAAGCUCGGACUGUGGCUGAAAGAGAACAUGACUUUUCCGGAAACCAGUCAGAGAUAUCCAACUCAGCUCACCUUCCAGUUUUGCUCCUCCAACUCCCAGACUGUGUGGUUCUGCACAACAGUGAAGAAAAUAUUGAGGAACCGAAACAAGCUGAGGCAGGUAAGUCCCACCCCCUCCUCCACUCAGAUGCCGGAGGCCUGACACCAGUUAGGCUGGUGUACCUGCAGCAUUCUGCCCUGGGUUUGCCUUUGAUCCCACCCCUGCAGUCUAGCCACCAGGAAACAAAAAAUCUCCUCUCUGGGUUUUCUAAGCCUUACCUUUUGGUUCAGGGCAGAUCAGAACCCAGGAAACCCUGAACUCCAGAUAGGCAUCUGAAGGGAGAGGUGUCUCCACUCUGCCUCCAGCUCAGGUCCUCAGAACUACGCUUUGCCCUCACCUCACCUGACUGGUGCAGCACAUCCAGCCUCGUGCUCCUUGUUUUCUGGACAGUUUCCUUUUGUUGUGUUUGAUUUCCUUCUCUCAAGUAGUCAUUCAGUUUCCACAGUGAAUCCUGACUGGCACGCUAGAGUAUACACAGGCCUGAACACAUACUUGAAAGGUUGUGCCUCUCUUGCCUCCUGUUCCAGCUUCCUACCAUCCAAACUACACAAAUCAGCAAGUACCUCUUCCAAAUUUGUUUUUUUAGUGAACAGGGUCUCACUCUGUUGCCCAAGCUACAGUGCAGUGGUACAGUCAUAGCUCACUGCAGCCUCCUACUCCUGGGCUCAAGUGAUCCUCCCACCUCAGCCUCCCAAAUAGUUGGGACUACAGGUGCAUGCCACUACACCCAGCUAAUUAUUAAACUUUUUGUCGAGAUGGGAUCUCACUAUGUUGCCCAGGCUGGUCCUGAACUCCUGGGCUCAAGUGAUGCUCUUGACCCAAAGCGCUGGGA